UACGGGGGGGGCAAGCGUUGUUCGGAAUUACUGGGCGUAAAGGGCCAGUAGGCGGCCAACUAAGUCGGAUGUGAAAUCCCCAGGCUUAACCUGGGAACUGCAUCCGAUACUGGAUGGCUUGAAUUCGGGAGAGGGAUGCAGAAUUCCAGGUGUAGCGGUGAAAUGCGUAGAUAUCUGGAGGAAUACCGGUGGCGAAGGCGGCAUCCUGGACCGACAUUGACGCUGAACGGCGAAAGCUAGGGAGCAACGG
rnacentral:rRNA from 1 species